GAGACUCUAUCGUCUUUUCUUUAUUACCUUUCUCGUCUUUCCCUUAUCGUUUUUCUUUGCUGUUUUUAGAUAGCUUGUUUAUUUUUAUAUCCUUUUAGUUGUUUAUUUUUAUUUUUAGUAUAAUGCAUGAGUCUGACGAGUCACUAAAUAUAGUAUAUCUUUAGUACAAUCUAAUCUCCCCAUACCUUUAGCCCCACCGAUUUUUUUUUGUAAAAGAAAACAGUGUUAUUCCGAAAGUUUUCAGGUUUUAAAGACAUGUUUUGAGUAAGGAUGCG
rnacentral:lncRNA from 1 species